rnacentral:rRNA from 1 species
AGAGUUUGAUCCUGGCUGAGAGUGAACGCUGGCGGCGUGCUUAACACAUGCAAGUCGAACGAGAACGGGUUAAAGCUUGCUUUAACUGUCAGCUAAGUGGCGCACGGGUGAGUAAUAUAUAGGUAACGUGCCUUCAAGAAGGGGAUAACAAUUGGAAACGAUUGCUAAUACCCUAUAUGCCUUUAAGUCUUAAGACUGCAAGGGAAAUAUUUAUAGCUUGAAGAUCGGCCUGUACAGUAUCAGUUAGUCGGUGAGGUAAUGGCUCACCAAGACAAUGACGCUUAACUGGUUUGAGAGGAUGAUCAGUCACACUGGAACUGAGACACGGUCCAGACUCCUACGGGAGGCAGCAGUGGGGAAUAUUGCACAAUGGACGAAAGUCUGAUGCAGCAACGCCGCGUGGAGGAUGACACAUUUCGGUGCGUAAACUCCUUUUAUAUAGGAAGAUAAUGACGGUACUAUAUGAAUAAGCACCGGCUAACUCCGUGCCAGCAGCCGCGGUAAUACGGAGGGUGCAAGCGUUACUCGGAAUCACUGGGCGUAAAGAGCGUGUAGGCGGAUAGUUAAGUUUGAAGUGAAAUCCUAUGGCUCAACCAUAGAACUGCUUUGAAAACUGAUUAUCUAGAAUAUGGGAGAGGUAGAUGGAAUUUCUGGUGUAGGGGUAAAAUCCGUAGAGAUCA